GACGGGACCCGCACAAGCAGCGGAGCGUGUGGUUAAUUCGAUGCUACACGAGAACUUACCAAGGUUUGACAUGCAAGUGGUAGUGAUCUGAAAAGUGAACGACCCUUCGGGGAGCUUGCACAGGUGCUGCAUGGCUGUCGUCAGCCCGUGUCGUGAGAUGUUCGGUUAAGUCCGCUAACGAGCGCAGCCCUCACUGUGUGUUAUACGUGUCACACGGGACUGCCGGUUUUAAGCCGAAGGAAGGCGAGGAUGAAGUCAAGUCAGCAUGGCCUUUAUACCUUGGGCUACACACACGCUACAAUGGUCUGUACAACAGGUUGCCAAGCCGCGAGGCGGAGCCAAUCCUAAAAGCAGGCCUCAGUUCAGAUUGUAGGCUGCAACCCGCCUGCAUGAAGAUGGAGUUGCUAGUAACCGCAGGUCAGCUAUACUGCGGUGAAUACGUUCCCGGGUCUU
rnacentral:rRNA from 1 species